AUUGAACGCUGGCGGCAUGCCUAACACAUGCAAGUCGAGCGGAAGCAGGCAGCUGGCUCCUGACUUCUGCUGCGGGCGGGAGUGUAAUGCCUAGGCGUCUACCUGGUAGUGGGGGAUCGCAUCGGUAGAUGUGCGCAUAUCCCAUAUCGGCUCAGAGUGAGAACGGGGGGGUUCUUAGGACUGUUUGGCCUCUGACGUCUCUAGGUCGGAUUAGCUAGUUGGUGGGGUAAAGGCCUACCAAGGCGACGAUCCGUAGCUGGGCUGAGAGGAUGAUCAGCCACACUGGAACUGAGACACGGUCCAGACUCCUACGGGAGGCAGCAGUGGGGAAUAUUGGACAAUGGGCGAAAGCCUGAUCCAGCAAUGCCGCGUGCGUGAAGAAGGUCUUCGGAUUGUAAAGCACUUUUAUUUGGGAGGAAGAGAAGUGAGUUAAUACCUGGCUGUGUUGACGGUACCGAAAGAAUAAGCACCGGCUAACUACGUG
rnacentral:rRNA from 1 species